CUUGAGUUCAAAUCCCCAUUUAGCCAUGAAGCUAACUUGGUGGCCUUCAGUAAGUCACCAUUUUGCAAUCUUACACCUUACAAGGUAAAAAUAGGACAACCUCAUAUAAAUUCCUGUGCAAAACAGGACGAGCCCAAGGAGUCACCCUAAAAGGAUCGCUGAAGAAUGAAGAACCAGGUACAAAGGUUGCAGACGCAUGCGCAGCUUCUGGAUUAACGCAACAGACCAUUACAGAUUUAAGAGCCGUUACGGUAUAUCAAUAGGGGUGAAACAGUCCAAAAGCACAACCUGUUAAGGAAGAUGAUCAAGGAGGUGACAUUUCCUGUGGUUCUUCAAGCCGUUCAGCUAAAGAACAAACUUCACCUUCCCUAACAAUGUUUGAAAGGACAGAAAAGGUGACUGGCACUAAGCACAUUUCAGAAGCUCAUAUGUGGGGGUAUUCAAUGCAAGAGAAUAGUUUUAUUAACUUGCUUUUAGCGGUUAUAAUUUUGUGAAAUAUAGAACCAUGCAUACAGUAUUACUGUAUGGAACAUGCUUAACACACUUCAUUAAGCUUAUCAAAUAUUUAAAACCAUAUGUAUUAGAUCAAUCCUACAAAUGCAUACAUCUUUUAACCAUUCUAAUCUGCAACAAGAUGUCCGUUGUAGUAAAUGCUUUUAAUUCUCAGUAUGAAAUAUUGUCAGGUCAGCUUGAGACAAUAGUUAAAAUUAACAAAAAG